rnacentral:rRNA from 2 species
GGGGGGCUGCUAAUACAUGCAAGUCGAGCGAACUGAUUAGAAGCUUGCUUCUAUGACGUUAGCGGCGGACGGGUGAGUAACACGUGGGCAACCUGCCUGUAAGACUGGGAUAACUUCGGGAAACCGAAGCUAAUACCGGAUAGGAUCUUCUCCUUCAUGGGAGAUGAUUGAAAGAUGGUUUCGGCUAUCACUUACAGAUGGGCCCGCGGUGCAUUAGCUAGUUGGUGAGGUAACGGCUCACCAAGGCAACGAUGCAUAGCCGACCUGAGAGGGUGAUCGGCCACACUGGGACUGAGACACGGCCCAGACUCCUACGGGAGGCAGCAGUAGGGAAUCUUCCGCAAUGGACGAAAGUCUGACGGAGCAACGCCGCGUGAGUGAUGAAGGCUUUCGGGUCGUAAAACUCUGUUGUUAGGGAAGAACAAGUACGAGAGUAACUGCUCGUACCUUGACGGUACCUAACCAGAAAGCCACGGCUAACUACGUGCCAGCAGCCGCGGUAAUACGUAGGUGGCAAGCGUUAUCCGGAAUUAUUGGGCGUAAAGCGCGCGCAGGCGGUUUCUUAAGUCUGAUGUGAAAGCCCACGGCUCAACCGUGGAGGGUCAUUGGAAACUGGGGAACUUGAGUGCAGAAGAGAAAAGCGGAAUUCCACGUGUAGCGGUGAAAUGCGUAGAGAUGUGGAGGAACACCAGUGGCGAAGGCGGCUUUUUGGUCUGUAACUGACGCUGAGGCGCGAAAGCGUGGGGGAGCAAACAGGAUUAGAUACCCUGGU